UAAGCUCUUGGUAAACGGGGUAGGGUAAUAGCUGGAGUGCUCCAACUUGACGCAUGUCUUGUUGGGAAAGUGUUUAGUGGCAUGGGAUGGGGUCGCGUCCUAUCAGCUUGUAGGCGGGGUAAUGGCCCACCUAGGCUUCGACGGGUAGCCGGCCUGAGAGGGCGGACGGCCACAUUGGGACUGAGAUACGGCCCAGACUCCUACGGGAGGCAGCAGCA
rnacentral:rRNA from 1 species